AAAAGCACUUUGAAAAGAGAGUGCAAGAGAACGUGAAACCGACAUAAUGGAAGCGGAUGGAGCCGACGUAUCAGGUGCGUAUUCAGUUCGACGACGCAGCGAUCGACGCUUGGGCAUUCCGCAAGGUUGUCGAGCGGCGUUCUCGUUGUGCUCGUCGGGUGCAUUUGCGUACGGAGUGCGCCGAGUGGGUCGAUUGCGCUGCUGGACGAGUGCAUAGAGGACUCGGGUCUUCGCGGGCCGGAGAAUCCUGUGCGCUUGGGAUAGCGGGUGCAGUUGGCUCGUCGUUGGUGUGGGUGAAUUCGCGGUUGGCGGCUGCUGUGCGGUCGGCCGGCGGACGACACAUGUGUCGGUCGUUGGUCCGUUCGUGCGGUCGGACGUCGAUUGCCCCCGAACACUCGACUCGGUGUAUAGUCGGUCACCCAUUUGACCCGUCUUGAAACACGGACCAAGGAGUUUAAGGUGUACGCGAGUCAUUGAGUCCGCGAAACUCAAAGGCGCAAUGAAAGUGAGACACUCGGUGUCGGCGAUGUGAGCGGAGAGCGUUUCGACGUUCCUCGUGCAACAUCACCCCGUGAUUGGAACUUGUUCUGUUGCGGAGGUCGAGCGUACGCUUUGAGACCCGAAAGAUGGUGAACUAUGCCCGAACAGGAUGAAGCCAGAGGAAACUCUGGUGGAAGUCCGAAGCGGUUCUGACGUGCAAAUCGAUCGUCUGAUUUGGGUAUAGGGGCGCAAGACUAAUCGAACCAUCUAGUAGCU
rnacentral:rRNA from 1 species